CCUACGGGAGGCAGCAGUGAGGAAUAUUGGUCAAUGGGCGGAAGCCUGAACCAGCCAAGUCGCGUGAGGGAAUAAGGCCCUACGGGUCGUAAACCUCUUUUGCCGGGGAGCAAGGGCGGGGACGUGUCCCGGCCCGGAGAGUACCCGAAGAAAAAGCAUCGGCUAACUCCGUGCCAGCAGCCGCGGUAAUAGGGAGGAUGCGAGCGUUAUCGGGAUUUAUUGGGUUUAAAGGGUGCGUAGGCGGGCUUUUAAGUCAGCGGUAAAAAUUCGGGGCUCAACCCCGUCCGGCCGUUGAAACUGGGGGCCUUGAGUGGGCGAGAGGCAGGCGGAAUGCGUGGUGUAGCGGUGAAAUGCAUAGAUAUCACGCAGAACCCCGAUUGCGAAGGCAGCGUGCCGUGCCGCCACUGACGCUGAGGCACGAAAGCGCGGGGAUCGAACAGGAUUAGAUACCCCUGUAGUC
rnacentral:rRNA from 1 species